UACAGAGGGUGCGAGCGUUAAUCGGAAUUACUGGGCGUAAAGCGUGCGUAGACGGUUUCGUAAGUCGGGUGUGAAAGCCCCGGGCUCAACCUGGGAAUUGCAUUCGAGACUGCGUAGCUAGGGUGCGGAAGAGGGAAGCGGAAUUUCCGGUGUAGCGGUGAAAUGCUUAGAUAUCGGAAGGAACAUCAGUGGCGAAAGCGGCUUCCUGGUCCAGCACCGACGUUCAGGCACGAAAGCGUGGGGAGCAAACAGG
rnacentral:rRNA from 1 species